rnacentral:rRNA from 1 species
UACGGGGGGGGCAAGCGUUGUUCGGAAUUACUGGGCGUAAAGGGCUCGUAGGUGGCCAACUAAGUCAGACGUGAAAUCCCUCGGCUUAACCGGGGAACUGCGUCUGAUACUGGCGGGCUUGAAUUCGGGAGAGGGAUGUGGAAUUCCAGGUGUAGCGGUGAAAUGCGUAGAUAUCUGGAGGAACACCGGUGGCGAAGGCGGCAUCCUGGACCGACAUUGACGCUGAGGCGCGAAAGCCAGGGGAGCAAACGGG